rnacentral:rRNA from 1 species
UACAGAGGGUGCAAGCGUUACUCGGAAUUACUGGGCGUAAAGCGUGCGUAGACGGUUACAUAAGUCGGGUGUGAAAGCCCCGGGCUCAACCUGGGAAUUGCAUUCGAGACUGCGUAGCUAGGGUGCGGAAGAGGGAAGCGGAAUUUCCGGUGUAGCGGUGAAAUGCGUAGAUAUCAGGAGGAACACCGAUGGCGAAGGCAGUGUUCUGGGCCAGUACUGACGCUGAGGAGCGAAAGCGUGGGGAGCAAACAGG